UGGGGAAUAUUGGACAAUGGGCGAAAGCCUGAUCCAGCAAUGCCGCGUGAGUGAUGAAGGCCUUAGGGUUGUAAAGCUCUUUUACCCGGGAUGAUAAUGAAAGUACCGGGAGAAUAAGCCCCGGCUAACUCCGUGCCAGCAGCCGCGGUAAUACGGAGGGGGCUAGCGUUGUUCGGAAUUACUGGGCGUAAAGCGCGCGUAGGCGGCUUUCUAAGUCAGGGGUGAUAUCCUGGAGCUCAACUCCAGAACUGCCUUUGAUACUGGGAAGCUCGAGUCCGGAAGAGGUGAGUGGAACUCCGAGUGUAGAGGUGAAAUUCGUAGAUAUUCGGAAGAACACCAGUGGCGAAGGCGGCUCACUGGUCCGGUACUGACGCUGAGGUGCGAAAGCGUGGGGAGCAAAC
rnacentral:rRNA from 1 species